GGGGCUGACCGGUUUUGACAGUAAGUGUAAAGAUCGGGCUCGCAUGCAGGCUGGAGUAUGUACGGCCUUGAAAAAUUCAUAUGCACUAUAAAUGGCGAAGAAUCUUACGCUAUGGCUGCCUAAUCUUACCUUAACAGGAAAGAACGCUUAAAGGGUUGAGUUACGAGAGUAAUUCCCCGGCCACAUCUCACCGCCCGUUGUCUGAUCCGGGUGGAUCUGAGGUGUCGACUUGAUCGGACUGCUGCUUGUGAUGCUAUUAUGCAAGUUUAAGAUUCAGUAGCUAAGUCGAAACAAGGUGUGUCACCCAGCAUAUUUCGAUCGAAAACCUAACAGGUGACUAAGCAUGUAGAAGGUACGUUGUUUCCUUAUCUGGACGCGAGUUCGAAUCUCGCCAGCUCCACCU
rnacentral:tmRNA from 1 species